CCCUUAGAUGUUCUGGGCCGCACGCGCGCUACACUGAUGCAUUCAACGAGCCUAUCCUUGACCGACAGGUCCGGGUAAUCUUUGAAUCUGCAUCGUGACGGGGAUAGAUUAUUGCAAUUAUUAAUCUUCAACGAGGAAUGCCUAGUAGGCGCAAGUCAUCAGCUUGCGUCGAUUACGUCCCUGCCCUUUGUACACACCGCCCGUCGCUCCUACCGAUUGGGUGUGCUGGUGAAAUGUUCGGAUCGGCCGUUUGUCGCGGUUUCCGCGUCAUGUGGCUGAGAAGUUCAUUAAACCCUCCCACCUAGAGGAAGGAGGAGUCGUAACA
rnacentral:rRNA from 1 species